rnacentral:rRNA from 1 species
UACGGAGGAUCCAAGCGUUAUCCGAAGAUCAUUGGGUUUAAAGGGUCCGUAGGCGGUUUAAUAAGUCAGUGGUGAAAGCCCAUCGCUCAACGGUGGAACGGCCAUUGAUACUGUUAGACUUGAAUUAUUAGGAAGUAACUAGAAUAUGUAGUGUAGCGGUGAAAUGCUUAGAGAUUACAUGGAAUACCAAUUGCGAAGGCGAGGUUACUACUUAAUUGAUUGCGCUGAUGGACGAAAGCGUGGGUAGCGAACAGG